ensembl:lncRNA novel transcript
AGUGUUGGAUAAAUGGGAUCAUGCAGCAUGCAAGAUUUUGAAACUGCCGGCCAGACGCGAUGGCUCACGCCUGUAAUCCCAGCACUUUGGGAGGCUGAGACAGGCGGAUCACGAGGACUAAAGGACCACACAAGAAUUCCUUACAGUAGAAGCCAGGCCUGGGAGCAUUACACAAAGCACCCCCUAAGACCAGAUGAAACAGUGAUGGCUGCUGCCCUUGCACUCAAUGAGAUGGACCAAUAUGUCAUUUGUAGGGCCACAAUUGUGAGGCCAUUCAUUAGGAGAAGCUCACCAGUUUGAUGCCUGAGAGGACCUCCAACAGAGAGAUCAGGUUAUGGCCAUCCCGCAGAUCUUCAUAAAGAUCAUUGAUGUGCUUGCGGACCUGUGAAUGAGAGUGAAACAGACAGAUUUUUAUUUGAUAUUGAAUUAUUAUACUAUCCACAUAAAAAUCUCUGGUUCUAGGUAAACACAAAUUAAAGAAUUUAAAAGUGGAAGCAACAAUUAAAUAAUAAAAUUCAGGAAGUUUCAGAUUGGAAUAAAAUACAUGUGAAAUGAUAA